UACGAAGGGUCCAAGCGUUGUUCGGAAUCAUUGGGCGUAAAGCGCGCGCAGGCGGAUCAGCAAAGUCAGAUGUGAAAUCUCGAAGCUCAACUUCGAAACUGCGUCUGAAACUGCUAGUCUAGAAUGUCGGAGGGGGCAGGGGAAUUUCACGUGUAGGGGUAAAAUCCGUAGAGAUGUGAAGGAACACCGGAGGCGAAGGCGCCUGCCUGGACGACUAUUGACGCUGAGGCGCGAAAGCGUGGGGAGCAAACAGG
rnacentral:rRNA from 1 species